AACGCGAAGAACCUUACCUGGGCUUGACAUGCAGGUGACCGCGGCAGAAAUGUCGUUUUCUCGCAAGAGACAGCUGCACAGGUGCUGCAUGGCUGUCGUCAGCUCGUGCCGUGAGGUGUUGGGUUAAGUCCCGCAACGAGCGCAACCCUUGUCGUUAGUUGCCAUCGCGUAAUGGCGGGCACUCUAACGAGACUGCCUAGGUUAACUAGGAGGAAGGUGAGGAUGACGUCAAGUCCGCAUGGCCCUUAUGCCCAGGGCCACACACGUGCUACAAUGGUCGGUACAGAAGGUAGCAAGACCGCAAGGUGGAGCAAAUCCUCAAAGCCGGCCCCAGUUCAGAUUGGAGUCUGCAACUCGACUCCAUGAAGUUGGAAUUGCUAGUAAUGGCGAGUCAGCUACAUCGCCGUGAAUACGUUCCCGGGCCUUGUACACACCGACGCGUA
rnacentral:rRNA from 1 species